rnacentral:lncRNA from 1 species
CAUAAUGCAAAUACUUUUAAACGGAAUUUCUUUUCCUUCUCGCAAAUUGAAAUAUUUUUUUCUGUAAUAAUGAAUCAGAAUAGGUCAAAUCUAAGGUAUUAACAGGAUUCAUCUAUUUUCGUGGGUGUCAAUUUCCGUGGAACGAGGAAAAAUUGCCUUUUCGUGGUUUUGGUAUAGUAUGCUUACAACACAAUAGGAAUAAGUAAUUAGUUGAACAUAUAAUUUUUUGGUUCAACUGUACACACCAGAAAAAUUGAGAUCCAACGAAUAGUAAUAAAUACAUAGUAAAAAGUUACUUUUAUAUGUAUUUUAAAAAAGUACUAUUAUAAACAUAAAAAAGAUGUGGUAUAUCUGCCAAUUACAUUGAGACAACUAUCUAGUCAUAAUGACUUAGAUGCAUGGAACUAAAAGUGACCAUACAGUCUUCAACAAUGAACAAAAUCAAUACUGUAUAUAUGUAUAUAUAAAUGCCUAAAAAGUUUACAAAAUAACACCAAUAAUAAUAAAAGGCAAUAUUAAAUGUAAUUAUAUGUGAUUUGCGUCUGUCCUGAGUACGGAAC